ACUCAGCUGCCUGAGCCACCCAAGUGCCCCUCCGGCUCAUCUUUGUGAUGGACAGUGAGGCUUCCCUCCUGAGGAGGAGGGCCGCUUAGGUCCUUGAAACAAGCCAGACUCGGGUCUUUCGAAGUGUAGAUUUUGGACUGACUACUCUCCGACAUCGGGCUCCUGGGUGCCCCUGGGAUCUGGGUGGCAGCGGUGCCUUUGCCAAGGACGCAGCAAGGCAGAGUCAGUGGAACAGAAGCUUGUCUAUCUCAUGCAACACAGCACCUGCUGCAGGACUGCAGAGACGACGGGAACAAAACAAAAAGAUUGCAGGCUUUGAUAUAACUCAACAACCACUAAGGACUGGACACUUGCCCAGAACACCAGAAAAAUCUCUGUUUUUACAAUCAUGCAUUCGACCAAUCAAUAAAUAUCAGGAAACAUUUGGGUGACUAGGAGCGCCCUCUGAGCCAAGUUUCUGGUUCUGAUACACUAGGCAAUGGUAUUUCGUGGAAGGUCACUGGAGGCAGUGUUGUGGGGAUGGCAGACAUGGAGGUGGUGCAAUGAAAUAGGCAUCAGGUGAUGUUAAUCUCACAGGGCUGAGAGCCACUGCAUCGCAGAAGAAUCCAUUUACCUCUCCUCUCCUCUCCUGAGACUUGGCCGUUCUUCAGUUCUCUGAGGUAGCAGAUUGGUUGCAUUCCUUCUACAUCCUUCUCCAUGCUGAGAACGUCACCUUAGACCCUGAAACCCUCUCCAAGACUUCCGUCUUCCUGGGGAGCAUCCUCUCUUCCCUUCCUCUUGUUUCUCCAACAGAUCGCAAGCCACUGACCGUGGAGGACGUGCCUCUGCUCCCCCUUCGCUGCUGGGUUUCCGUAUGCAGUCUCAGGCUUCUCGAAUGUCACCUUAUCAAUAUUUUCUUCUUGUGUCUCCCUGUGUUGUUACUUUCUUAUUUAAAAUAAACACAAAUAUG